UAUACUAACUGCUAAAACAGCAUACUAUGACAAUUAAUAUGUUCUACAUAGUGUAUAGAAUGUAUAUGUCGUAUAGAUUAGUUACACAGUGAAGUAUUUUUAUUUCAGCAAUUUUCUUCCUUGUCAACGGUCGACCGCCGACGGUUUGGUCAGACGUUAUGCUAGCAGCGGCUAAUGUAGCCGUUAGCCUUAAGCAGGGAUGAGGAAAGGCUACAGAGAUCUGCUGUGUGCACCCACCUGGCAGCCAUCCUCCAACACGCUGUAUGUGAAGCGGCUGGUGCCCUCUGCGCGGAUCUCCACAUCGUUGGAGCCCUGCAGCUUCAGAGCCUUCUUCAGGUUGCCUGUGGCCUGGUCCAUGUAGGCGACGCUGUUCUUGCAGUGACGUGUUUGCGGUCCUUGCUCUUGCUAGUCCACCAGUUCUUCUUUGGUACUUCGGCGAUGCUCGGGGUGACGCAGGUCUCUCCAGUCUCCAUGUUACAGAAGACCUUGAUGGCAUCGGCUAUGCUGCCAAUGUUGGGAUCCACCCAGGUGACACAGCUUCAGGUCUCUGCAGGUGCGAGCAGGGUUCUUCUGGCUGCCGUCGGGGCUGCGCAGGUUCUCAAUCUGGCUGUUGAGGGACUUGAGUGUGGAAUCGACCUCCACGUCGUGCUGCCUCAG